rnacentral:rRNA from 1 species
AAUGAACGCUGGCGGCGUGCUUAACACAUGCAAGUCGUACGAGAACUCUUCUGCUUGCAGAAGAUAGUAAAGUGGCGCACGGGUGAGUAACGCGUGGUAAUCUACCUCCGAAUCGGGGAUAACCCGCCGAAAGGCGAGCUAAUACCGGAUACUAUCUUUAGAACUUCGGUUUUAAAGAUCAAAGAUGGUCUCUACAUGUAAGCUACUGUUUGGAGAUGAGCCCGCGUACCAUUAGCUUGUUGGUAGGGUAAUGGCCUACCAAGGCCGCGAUGGUUAGCUGGUCUGAGAGGAUGAUCAGCCACACUGGAACUGACACACGGUCCAGACUCCUACGGGAGGCAGCAGUGAGGAAUUUUGCGCAAUGGGGGAAACCCUGACGCAGCAACGCCGCGUGAGUGAUGAAGGCUUUCGGGUCGUAAAGCUCUGUCAAGUGGGAAGAACCUGUUAGAUACUAAUACCAUCUAACACUGACGGUACCACUAAAGGAAGCACCGGCUAACUCCGUGCCAGCAGCCGCGGUAAUACGGGGGGUGCAAGCGUUAUUCGGAAUUAUUGGGCGUAAAGGGCGCGUAGGCGGUCUCUAAAGUCAGAUGUGAAAGCCCGGGGCUUAACCCCGGAAGUGCAUUUGAAACUUAGGGAC